GACAGAGGUGCCGAGCGUUAGGCGGAAUCACUGGGCUUAAAGCGUGUGUAGGCGGACCGUUAAGUACCUUGUGAAAUCCCACGGCUCAACCGUGGAACGGCUGGGUAUACUGGCGGUCUUGAGCCAGCUAGGGGCUACCGGAACAAAUGGUGGAGCGGUGAAAUGCGUAGAUAUCAUUUGGAACGCCAAUGGUGAAAACAGGUAGCUGGGGCUGUGCUGACACUGAGACACGAAAGCCAGGGGAGCAAACGGG
rnacentral:rRNA from 1 species